AUCAAUCCAUACUGCAUCUCUAAAAUGAAGAGGAAAAAAGAAAAACAGGCAGAUAAUGACUGCAUCUGCAGCAGCCACUUUGCAACCAUGAGAUGACAUGAUUGAAGACAAAAACCAACAGUAAAAAUGGUUGAGGAAGAUGGAAAGCCUGAGGUGUUGAUGUUUUCAUUGAGCAGCUGAACCAAUGUCUACAAGCACCUACCUUGGAACACUCUUUAUAGAAGGAAAAUAAGGUCCUAUUGAUUUAAGCCACUGCCAGUUUGGUUUUCUUUUAAUUAAACUGAAAUUUUUUUCUCACUCAAUGUCAGGCCAACCUAAAUGAAUUCUCUUUCAGACAGCUGAAAUGUAAACCAAAAUGGAAGAGAGGACGGCUGAGAGGAAAGGGGGGGAAAGAAAAAUGGAGAAACUACAAACUCAAGGACAGAAAUUAGAACACUUAGGAGAGCAGCAAAGGAGAUCCCUUGUUGAGGGAAGAUCAUGAGACCUGCAUUUUGGAGCUGCAGCAUUGGCCAGAGGCCAGUGUACCCUGAACAACUAACUCUUCCUCACUGUGGCUCCAGGAGGACCCACUAUCUGGUGAUUGUUACCUCUUCUGACUUUCCCACACACAUUCACCAAAUUCCUUUGUCACUAAAGGAAAUCUGAGUGUCACUGUCCCUUGCAACUGAAAGUGCUCAUCUAGCAUCAUUUCUAGCCACCUGUGGUCAGUCUCAUAAAGGACAGGUACCAUAUUCUUUUAGCAAACAUUUCUCAACAUCACAGAAAACACUGAGCUAGAUAAACUCUCUGAGAAACACCAAGCAACAUAAAGGAACCUGCAGUUUGUCCUCAGUGCCUCACACUUCCUGUUUUGGUGCUUUGUCCUCUCCAUCUAAGUGCUUUCCCUCACCACGCCAACGCCCAGUGUCCUGCUGCUGUUCAGAUGGCAAGUGUCCUCCUACUUGGAUAAUGCCUGGAACUGGUUCACAAGGCUUCAUUCAGCUUAAGGCUUUUCUCCACCUUGAUCUAUCAUCAAUUUUAGCUCACUUGUCCUGGAGCAUCGAUCCAAAGGUCCCCAUAGAAUGACGACAACUGGGUGUUGAUUGGCUAAGGAUUAUCUGAAGUUUUAUUGCCUGAAGGUGGGAAGAGACAAAUUUACCUAGGAAGUUUGAUAGACAAGGCCCGAACAGGAGUAAAAGGAAGAUGGAGGCAAGGGGCCAUAGAAAUGGAAGGAGCCAGGACAUCCAAGAUCGUGCAUUUUCCCAGGUGAGGCACGCUUGGGAGGCUGUGUCCUUUAGAUUGGAAGCCCGUUGGGUAACGUUCCGAAUGUGUUUUUGAACUUGUCCUAAUGGAUUGACCCAGAAACAGCACUGUUCUUGGAGCACGGUGCAUAGCCCUCCCUGAGC